rnacentral:rRNA from 1 species
GUGGGGAAUUUUGGACAAUGGGGGCAACCCUGAUCCAGCCAUUCCGCGUGAGUGAAGAAGGCCUUCGGGUUGUAAAGCUCUUUCGUCAGGAACGAAACGGCGGGCUCUAACAUAGCCUGUUAAUGACGGUACCUGAAGAAGAAGCACCGGCUAACUACGUGCCAGCAGCCGCGGUAAUACGUAGGGUGCAAGCGUUAAUCGGAAUUACUGGGCGUAACGCGUGCGCAGGCGGUUAUAUAAGACAGAUGUGAAAUCCCCGGGCUCAACCUGGGAACUGCAUUUGUGACUGUAUAGCUAGAGUACGGUAGAGGGGGAUGGAAUUCCGCGUGUAGCAGUGAAAUGCGUAGAUAUGCGGAGGAACACCGAUGGCGAAGGCAAUCCCCUGGGCCUGCACUGACGCUCAUGCACGAAAGCGUGGGGAGCAAACAGGAUUAGAAACCCUAGUAGUCC